rnacentral:rRNA from 1 species
CCUACGGGAGGCAGCAGUGGGGAAUAUUGGACAAUGGGCGCAAGCCUGAUCCAGCCAUGCCGCGUGAGUGAUGAAGGCCUUAGGGUUGUAGAGCUCUUUUACCAGGGAUGAUAAUGACAGUACCUGGAGAAUAAGCUCCGGCUAACUCCGUGCCAGCAGCCGCGGUAAU